ensembl:miRNA gga-mir-6545 gga-mir-6545
AGGUUUCUCUUGUUCAAUUGGCAGAAAAGGGCUGCAGCUUCAUCUGAAGUACUGGAGAGAAGCUGGAGCUGAUUUUCUGGCAAUGACAGCAUGACAGAGCAUCCGGC